AUGAAGAACGUAGCGAAAUGCGAUAAGUAAUGUGAAUUGCAGAAUUCAGUGAAUCAUCGAAUCUUUGAACGCACAUUGCGCCCGCCAGUAUUCUGGCGGGCAUGCCUGUCUGAGCGUCAUUUCAACCCUCAUGCCCCUAGGGCGUGGUGUUGGGGAUCGGCCAAAGCCCGCGAGGGACGGCCGGCCCCUAAAUCUAGUGGCGGACCCGUCGUGGCCUCCUCUGCGAAGUAGUGAUAUUCCGCAUCGGAGAGCGAUGAGCCCCUGCCGUUAAACCCCCAACUUUCCAAGGUUGACCUCAGAUCAGGUAGGAAUACCCGCUGAACUUAAGCAUAUCAAUAAGCAGAGGA
rnacentral:misc_RNA from 1 species